UACGGAGGGUGCAAGCGUUAUCCGGAUUCACUGGGUUUAAAGGGUGCGUAGGUGGGUGUGUAAGUCAGUGGUGAAAUCUCCGAGCUUAACUGGAAACUGCCAUUGAUACUACUGAUCUUGAAUUUUCAGGAGGUAAGCGGAAUAUGUCAUGUAGCGGUGAAAUGCUUAGAUAUGACAUAGAACACCAAUUGCGAAGGCAGCUUACUACAGGAAUAUUGACACUGAUGCACGAAAGCGUGGGGAUCAAACAGG
rnacentral:rRNA from 1 species